AUCACGUCGCCCACGUCACACAUCAUCCGGUCUUGGAUGGUUUUGUGUGUGGGCGGAGACUGGCCUCCCGUGCCCAUGGUGCGGUUGGCCUAAAUACGAGUUCGCUAAAGAAGGAGGCACGACUGGUGGUGGUUGAUUACGCAGUCGUCUCGUGUCGUGUGCUCUGAUUCUUAAACGGAAGAGACUUAAAAAGUACCCCGAUUUGCUGUACUUGUGACGGCAUUUCGAUU
rnacentral:rRNA from 1 species